GAUGAACGCUGGCGGCGUGCCUAAUACAUGCAAGUCGAGCGAACAGAUGAGGAGCUUGCUCCUCUGACGUUAGCGGCGGACGGGUGAGUAACACGUGGAUAACCUACCUAUAAGACUGGGAUAACUUCGGGAAACCGGAGCUAAUACCGGAUAAUAUAUUGAACCGCAUGGUUCAAUAGUGAAAGACGGUUUUGCUGUCACUUAUAGAUGGAUCCGCGCCGCAUUAGCUAGUUGGUAAGGUAACGGCUUACCAAGGCAACGAUGCGUAGCCGACCUGAGAGGGUGGUCGGCCACACUGGAACUGAGACACGGUCCAGACUCCGACGGGACGCAGCAGUAGGGAAUCUUCCGCAAUGGGCGAAAGCCUGACGGAGCAACGCCGCGUGAGUGAUGAAGGUCUUCGGAUCGUAAAACUCUGUUAGUAGGGAAGAACAAAUGUGUAAGUAACUAUGCACGUCUUGACGGUACCUAAUCAGAAAGCCACGGCUAACUACGUG
rnacentral:rRNA from 1 species